GCCUAACACAUGCAAGUCGAGCGCUUCACUUCGGUGAGGAGCGGCGGACGGGUUAGUAACGCGUGGGAACAUACCCUUCUCUAAGGAAUAGCCACUGGAAACGGUGAGUAAUACCUUAUACGCCCUUCGGGGGAAAGAUUUAUCGGAGAAGGAUUGGCCCGCGUUAGAUUAGAUAGUUGGUGGGGUAAUGGCCUACCAAGUCUACGAUCUAUAGCUGGUUUGAGAGGAUGAUCA
rnacentral:rRNA from 1 species